UACGUAGGGUGCGAGCGUUAAUCGGAAUUACUGGGCGUAAAGAGUGCGCAGGCGGCCGAGCAAGUCGAGUGUGAAAGCCCCGGGCUUAACUUGGGAAUUGCGCUCGAAACUACUUGGCUGGAGUGUGGCAGAGGAAGGUGGAAUUCCCGGUGUAGUGGUGAAAUGCGUAGAGAUCGGGAGGAACACCAGUGGCGCAAGCGGCUGCCUGGCCGAGUCCUGACGCUGAGACGCGACGGCGUGGGGAGCAAACCGG
rnacentral:rRNA from 1 species